rnacentral:rRNA from 1 species
UACGGGAGGCAGCAGUGGGGAAUCUUGCGCAAUGGGCGAAAGCCUGACGCAGCGACGCCGCGUGAGGGAGGAAGGCCUUCGGGUUGUAAAGUACUUUCAGUCGUGAGGAAGGUGUUAAGGUUAAUAACCUUAGCAAUUGACGUUAGCGACAGAAGAAGCACCGGCUAACUCCGUGCCAGCAGCCGCGGUAAUACGGAGGGUGCGAGCGUUAAUCGGAAUUACUGGGCGUAAAGGGCACGCAGGCGGUUAAUUAAGUUGGAUGUGAAAUCCCCGGGCUUAACCUGGGAAUGGCAUUCAAGACUGGUUAGCUAGAGUCUUGUAGAGGGGGUAGAAUUCCAUGUGUAGCGGUGAAAUGCGUAGAGAUGUGGAGGAAUACCGGUGGCGAAGGCGGCCCCUGGACAAAGACUGACGCUCAUGUGCGAAAGCGUGGGGAGCAAACAGGGAUUAGAUACC